AAAGACUGACGCUCAUGCACGAAAGCGUGGGGAUCAAACAGGAUUAGAUACCCUGGUAGUCCACGCUGUAAACGAUGAUCACUCGUUGUUGGCGAUAUACUGUCAGCGACUGAGCGAAAGCAUUAAGUGAUCCACCUGGGGAGUACGGCGGCAACGUUGAAACUCAAAGGAAUUGACGGGGGCCCGCACAAGCGGAGGAGCAUGUGGUUUAAUUCGAUGAUACGCGAGGAACCUUACCUGGGCUUAAAUGCAGGACGACGUUUCGUGAAAACGGAAUUUCCUUCGGGACGUCUUGCAAGGUGCUGCAUGGUUGUCGUCAGCUCGUGCCGUGAGGUGUCGGGUUAAGUCCCAUAACGAGCGCAACCCUUAUCAUUAGUUGCCAUCAAGUCAUGCUGGGAACUCUAAUGAAACUGCCUACGCAAGUAGUGAGGAAGGUGGGGACGACGUCAAGUCAUCAUGGCCCUUACGAGUAGGGCUACACACGUGCUACAAUGGCGAGUACAGAGGGUUGCGAA
rnacentral:rRNA from 1 species